AUGCGACCUGUGACCCUAUGCUCAACAUUGGAUUCACAAAACCAUGAGUUCAAAGCACUAAUCUUCGAGGUCAUGGUUAAUGGAAGCCUGGAGGCAUGGUUGCAUUCUGAGCAGCACAAUGGAAUUCUAGACAAAGUGCUAAGCUUUGGCCAGAGGAUAUGCAUAGCAGCAGAUGUGGCUUCUGCUCUUGAUUAUGCCCACAAUGAACUGACGCCUCCUUUGAUCCAUUGUGAUUUGAAGCCAAACAAUGUCCUUUUGGAUGAUGACAUGACUGCGCGGCUCAGUGACUUUGGCUCAGCAAAGUUUCUAUCACGAGGUCUAGUAAUUCCUAAAAGCCUUCAUGAUGUUGGAGGGACAAUUGGAUACGUGGCACCUGAGUACAGAAUGGGCUGCGAGAUCUCCGUAGGCGGUGAUGUGUAUAGUUUCGGAGUGCUUCUACUGGAAUUGCUUACUGGAAAACGACCUACUGAUGAUAUGUUUGUGGAUGGACUUAGCCUUUGUAAGUUCUAUGAAUCUAAGUUCCGAGACAGAGUUGCAGAGAUUCUUGAUCCUCAUAUGGCGCAUGAGGAGCAUCAAGGGUGCGCAGAAGGAUGGAUACAGAGAUAUAUUGUCCCCUUGGUUGCCCUUGGGCUGUCAUGUACGGUGGAAUCUCCGAAGGAUAGGCCCGGAAUGAAAGAUGUUUGUGCCAAACUUUCUGAUAUUAGAGCCUCUUUUCUUUAG
rnacentral:rRNA from 1 species